ensembl:lncRNA
AUUCACUGAGUGCACCGAUCUGCUGUAUGUCACCUUUGCCAGUGACGAAGGCACCAACGAAGAUGGAGAAGACCUCGGAGGGCCACGGCGAGAAUUCCUCCGUCUGCUUGUUAAAGCCAUCUUCAAAGAGAGUGGAGCAUUUGAAGAGUCUCUAAAUGGCUUCACUCCAAGAAUGAACAUUUCUCAUGUGCAGAAUGGAGUGUGCCGCACUAUUGGACAGAUGAUGUCUACCAUCAUCGUCCAGGGUGGUGAACCUCCAGCCCUCCUUUCUCCUCUGGUAGUGGACUACCUUCUGACAGGACACAUCUUUCAGUUGAAGGUCACUCCAGAUGAUGUAGCUGACAUGGAACUGAGAGAAGCCCUGAAGAAGGUUGAUCAAGCAUUAACCACAGAGGAGCUGGAGCAAGCAGUGGAAUGCUGUGACUCAUGGAGAUACCAACUCGAAGGUCUUCCGAACC